rnacentral:rRNA from 1 species
UAGGGAAUCUUCGGCAAUGGACGAAAGUCUGACCGAGCAACGCCGCGUGAGUGAAGAAGGCUUUCGGAUCGUAAAACUCUGUUGUUAGAGAAGAACAAGUACGUUAGUAACUGAACGUCCCCUGACGGUAUCUAACCAGAAAGCCACGGCUAACUACGUGCCAGCAGCCGCGGUAAUACGUAGGUGGCAAGCGUUGUCCGGAUUUAUUGGGCGUAAAGCGAGCGCAGGCGGUUUCUUAAGUCUGAUGUGAAAGCCCCCGGCUCAACCGGGGAGGGUCAUUGGAGACUGGGAGACUUGAGUGCAGAAGAGGAGAGUGGAAUUCCAUGUGUAGCGGUGAAAUGCGUAGAUAUAUGGAGGAACACCAGUGGCGAAGGCGGCUCUCUGGUCUGUAACUGACGCUGAGGCACGAAAGCGUGGGGAGCAAACAGG